AUUGAACGCUGGCGGCAGGCUUAACACAUGCAAGUCGAACGAGUGGCGGACGGGUGAGUACUGCUUGGGAAUCUGCCUGAUGGAGGGGGAUAACUACUGGACACUGUCGCUAAUACCGCAUACCAUAGGAUGAGCCCAAAUGGGAUUAGCUAGUUGGUGGGGUAAAGGCUGACCCAGGUGACGAUCUCUAGCUGGUCUGAGAGGAUGACCAGCCACACCGGGACUGAGACAAGGCCCAGACUCCUACGUGAGGCAGCAGUGGGGAAUAUUGCACAAUGGGGGCAAUCCUGACGCAGCCAUGCCGCGUGUAUGAAGAAGGCCUUAGGGUUGUAAAGUACUUUCGGCAGUGAGGCGUUAACUGCAGAAGAAGCACCGGCUAACUCCGUGCCAGCAGCCGCGGUAAUAC
rnacentral:rRNA from 1 species